GCUGAUGCGUUGUUGGGUAGGGGAGCGUUCUGUAAGCCUGCGAAGGUGUGCUGUGAGGCAUGCUGGAGGUAUCAGAAGUGCGAAUGCUGACAUAAGUAACGAUAAAGCGGGUGAAAAGCCCGCUCGCCGGAAGACCAAGGGUUCCUGUCCAACGUUAAUCGGGGCAGGGUGAGUCGACCCCUAAGGCGAGGCCGAAAGGCGUAGUCGAUGGGAAACAGGUUAAUAUUCCUGUACUUGGUGUUACUGCGAAGGGGGGACGGAGAAGGCUAUGUUGGCCGGGCGACGGUUGUCCCGGUUUAAGCGUGUAGGCUGGUUUUCCAGGCAAAUCCGGAAAAUCAAGGCUGAGGCGUGAUGACGAGGCACUACGGUGCUGAAGCAACAAAUGCCCUGCUUCCAGGAAAAGCCUCUAAGCAUCAGGUAACAUCAAAUCGUACCCCAAACCGACACAGGUGGUCAGGUAGAGAAUACCAAGGCGCUUGAGAGAACUCGGGUGAAGGAACUAGGCAAAAUGGUGCCGUAACUUCGGGAGAA
rnacentral:rRNA from 1 species